rnacentral:rRNA from 1 species
AGUGAACGCUGGCGGUAGGCCUAACACAUGCAAGUCGAACGGCAGCACAGUAAGAGCUUGCUCUUACGGGUGGCGAGUGGCGGACGGGUGAGGAAUACAUCGGAAUCUACUUUUUCGUGGGGGAUAACGUAGGGAAACUUACGCUAAUACCGCAUACGACCUACGGGUGAAAGCAGGGGAUCUUCGGACCUUGCGCGAUUGAAUGAGCCGAUGUCGGAUUAGCUAGUUGGCGGGGUAAUGGCCCACCAAGGCGACGAUCCGUAGCUGGUCUGAGAGGAUGAUCAGCCACACUGGAACUGGGACACGGUCCAGACUCCUACGGGAGGCAGCAGUGGGGAAUAUUGGACAAUGGGCGCAAGCCUGAUCCAGCCAUACCGCGUGGGUGAAGAAGGCCUUCGGGUUGUAAAGCCCUUUUGUUGGGAAAGAAAAGCAGCAGGUUAAUACCCCGCUGUUCUGACGGUACCCAAAGAAUAAGCACCGGCUAACUUCGUG